AACAGGAUUAGAUACCCUGGUAGUCCACGCCCUAAACGAUGUCUACUAGUUGUCGGGUUUUAAUUAACUUGGUAACGCAGCUAACGCGUGAAGUAGACCGCCUGGGGAGUACGGUCGCAAGAUUAAAACUCAAAGGAAUUGACGGGGACCCGCACAAGCGGUGGAUGAUGUGGAUUAAUUCGAUGCAACGCGAAAAACCUUACCUACCCUUGACAUGUACGGAAGACCGAAGAGAUUUGGUUGUGCUCGAAAGAGAACCGUAACACAGGUGCUGCAUGGCUGUCGUCAGCUCGUGUCGUGAGAUGUUGGGUUAAGUCCCGCAACGAGCGCAACCCUUGUCAUUAGUUGCUACAUUCAGUUGAGCACUCUAAUGAGACUGCCGGUGACAAACCGGAGGAAGGUGGGGAUGACGUCAAGUCCUCAUGGCCCUUAUGGGUAGGGCUUCACACGUCAUACAAUGGUACAUACAGAGGGCCGCCAACCCGCGAGGGGGAGCUAAUCCCAGAAAGUGUAUCGUAGUCCGGAUCGCAGUCUGCAACUCGACUGCGUGAAGUUGGAAUCGCUAGUAAUCGCGGAUCAGCAUGUCGCGGUGAAUACGUUCCCGGGUCUUGUACACACCGCCCGUCACACCAUGGGAGCGGGUUUUACCAGAAGUAGGUAGCUUAACCGCAAGGAGGGCGCUUACCACGGUAGGAUUCGUGACUGGGGUGAAGUCGUAACAAGGUAACC
rnacentral:rRNA from 1 species